UACGUAGGGUGCAAGCGUUGUCCGGAAUUAUUGGGCGUAAAGAGCUCGUAGGCGGUGUGUCGCGUCGGCCGUGAAAACCCGGGGCUCAACCCCGGGCCCUGCAGCCGAUACGGGCAGACUAGAGUUCGGCAGGGGAGACUGGAAUUCCUGGUGUAGCGGUGAAAUGCGCAGAUAUCAGGAGGAACACCGGUGGCGAAGGCGGAUCUCUGGGCCUGAUCUGACGCUGAGGCGCGAAAGCUAGGGAGCGAACAGG
rnacentral:rRNA from 1 species